UGGACUCGUGUGCGAGAAAUCAAAGUUGUCAAAACUAUUUAAAAAUGCAAGUUGUCUAGCCACGAAUCAAAUGCUGGCUUUCCACAUGAAACCCCACAAUUCAUUAUUGAUAUAUUGCAUGAGUAGAUAGCUUAUCCUAAAGUCUUGCUGAGUACUUUUUUACUCACGUUUGCUUAAUAAAUUGUUGCAGAGGUUGUUAAUGCCCUAAUGGAAGGUUCUACCUAGACAUCGACGACGACGAGUAGCUGGUAUCCCAGCUACNNNNNNNNNNGUCAAAUGCUGGCUUUCCGCAUGAAACCCCACAAUUCCUUAUUGAUACAUUGCAUGAGUAGAUAGCUUAUCCUAAAGACUUGCUGAGUACUUUUGUACUCACGUUUGCUUAAUAAAUUGUUGCAGAGGUUGUUAAUGACCCUAAUGG
rnacentral:lncRNA from 1 species